UACGGAGGGGGCGAGCGUUAUUCGGAAUUAUUGGGCGUAAAGGGCGCGUAGGCGGCUGUACAAGUCAAAGGUGAAAUCCCUCGGCUCAACUGAGGAACUGCCUUUGAAACUGUACGGCUUGAGGCCGGGAGGGGGUAGCGGAAUUCCCAGUGUAGCGGUGAAAUGCGUAGAUACUGGGAGGAACACCAGUGGCGAAGGCGGCUACCUGGACCGGUUCUGACGCUGAGGCGCGAAAGCGUAGGGAGCAAACAGG
rnacentral:rRNA from 1 species